rnacentral:rRNA from 1 species
UCCGGAGGGUGCAAUCGUUAUUCGGAAUUAUUGGGCGUAAAGAGCACGUAGGCGGCCAGUUAAGUCAGAUGUGAAAGCCCGGGGCUUAACCCCGGAAGUGCAUUUGAAACUAACUGGCUUGAGUAUGGGAGAGGGAAGUGGAAUUCCUGGUGUAGAGGUGAAAUUCGUAGAUAUCAGGAGGAACACCGGUGGCGAAGGCAACUUCCUGGACCAAUACUGACGCUGAGGUGCGAAAGCGUGGGGAGAAAACAGG